AGCACACGUUAUAGAAUACUCACGCUCAGUAACCUGCUACAACGCUGAAGGCGCAAGGCUAAAACAUGUUUCGCUUCCACGUAAUUCUGCUACUUCUGGUGGUGCUGUCUUCCUUUGAAAGUGGCAAUACGCGUAGACAAGCUUGGUGCCACAGAUAUUCAUGCUCAUUUGGCGGUAGAAAGGAACCCGGGUUUUGCGGAACAGAAUGUGACUGCGUAGAAUCAUACAACUGGCUCAACCAACGUUCCUACACAUGCUACGAUAAAAGAAGACCGUGAUGAAAGGUCGGCGGUCAACGGCAACAGCAGCCCUUCGACAAAACAUUUCCCUAUCGGUGGAGGACGCAACACGUUCGUGAAUUUUUGCAGCACUAUACAGAAAAAGCUUUAUAACAACGCACGAGAGUUGAAAAAAAAAAAAGAGUAGAUGCGCCACCUUUGGUGUGUACUCGCAGCUGAAAUACAGCGACAGCUGUGACUCUACGCACUGUGGCCAGACUUUAACACGAUUGAUUCUGUAUGUGUGAGAGUUCUUAAAGUAUAAUUUGUCAAUAUUUCGAAAUUAUCGGUUACAAAUAAUUUGCAACUGAGAUGUUUGGAGCUGAGAUUGUUCGGAUGUUUAGAAAUAAAAAGUAAUGGACGACAAUAUCGGCGGAUUCCGACUUAAGGCUUUUGCUUCAACAAAAAGUAAUGUUCGGUAACGAUAGGGAGCUCCUCCUAACACUACAACGGCCAAUGUCAAUCGCGUGUUCUCGGAAAAUAAAGUUGGGAAAAAAGUUGUUGACCAUCCACACUUAUUUCUCUAUUGAAAUCAAAAUAUAAACAAAUAAAUACGAAGCAUAUAUGGCACGUGGCCAA